rnacentral:rRNA from 1 species
UACGGGGGGAGCAAGCGUUGUUCGGAUUUACUGGGCGUAAAGGGCGCGUAGGCGGCGCAACAAGUCACUUGUGAAAUCUCCGGGCUUAACCCGGAGCGGUCAAGUGAUACUGUCGUGCUAGAGUGCAGAAGGGGCAACUGGAAUUCUCGGUGUAGCGGUGAAAUGCGUAGAUAUCGAGAGGAACACCUGCGGCGAAGGCGGGUUGCUGGGCUGACACUGACGCUGAUGCGCGAAAGCUAGGGGAG